rnacentral:rRNA from 1 species
UACGUAGGGUGCGAGCGUUUAAUCGGAAUUACUGGGCGUAAAGCGUGCGCAGGCGGUUUUGUAAGCCAGAUGUGAAAGCCCCGGGCUUAACCUGGGAAUGGCAUUUGGGACUGCAAGGCUUGAGUGCGGCAGAGGAGACUGGAAUUCCUGGUGUAGCAGUGAAAUGCGUAGAUAUCAGGAGGAACAUCCGUGGCGAAGGCGGCUCUCUGGUACGGUACUGACGCUGAGACGCGAAAGCGUGGGGAGCAAACAGG